rnacentral:rRNA from 1 species
UACGAAGGGGCUAGCGUUGCUCGGAAUCACUGGGCGUAAAGGGUGCGUAGGCGGGUCUUUUAAGUCAGGGGUGAAAUCCUGGAGCUCAACUCCAGAACUGCCUUUGAUACUGAGGAUCUUGAGUUCGGGAGAGGUGAGUGGAACUGCGAGUGUAGAGGUGAAAUUCGUAGAUAUUCGGAAGAACACCAGUGGCGAAGGCGGCUCACUGGACCGUUGUUGACGCUGAGGUGCGAAAGCGUGGGGAGCAAACAGG